UACGGAAGGGGCAAGCGUUGUUCGGAAUUACUGGGCGUAAAGGGCUCGUAGGCGGCCAACUAAGUCGGAUGUGAAAUCCCCAGGCUUAACCUGGGAACUGCAUCCGAUACUGGAUGGCUUGAAUCCGGGAGAGGGAUGCAGAAUUCCAGGUGUAGCGGUGAAAUGCGUAGAUAUCUGGAGGAAUACCGGUGGCGAAGGCGGCAUCCUGGACCGGCAUUGACGCUGAGUGAGCGAAAGCCAGGGGAGCAAACGGG
rnacentral:rRNA from 1 species